rnacentral:rRNA from 1 species
CCUACGGGAGGCAGCAGUGGGGAAUAUUGCGCAAUGGGCGAAAGCCUGACGCAGCGACGCCGCGUGAGGGAUGAAGGUCUUCGGAUCGUAAACCUCUGUCAGCAGGGAAGAACGGUCACUGUGCUAAUCAGCAGUGAAUUGACGGUACCUGCAAAGGAAGCACCGGCUAACACCGUGCCAGCAGCCGCGGUAAUACGGAGGGUGCGAGCGUUAAUCGGAAUUACUGGGCGUGAAGGGCUCGUAGGCGGUAUGUCAAGUCAAGGGUGAAAUCCCCGCGCUCAACGUGGGAACUGCCUUUGAACCUGGCAAACUUGAGUGUGUGAGAGGAUAGUGGAAUUCCAGGUGUAGGAGUGAAAUCCGUAGAUAUCUGGAGGAACAUCAGUGGCGAAGGCGACUAUCUGGCACAUAACUGACGCUGAGGAGCGAAAGCGUGGGUAGCAAACAGGAUUAGAUACCCGGGUAGUC